UUUUUUUUUUGUCUAAUAAAAUGAAAGAAAAGUUUGCUUGUUAAUGAGUUUAUAUAUUUUUGCAUUGUGUUAGUUAUUAUUCAGUGUAUGAUUUCAAGUUUAUUAAGAUUUAAUGAACUCUUUUUUUUUAAUCCAAUGAUUUGCUGAAAGACAGUAAGCUGUUUUGAAAUCAAAAAGGACAGAUUUUUUCUUUCUCAUUUUACCAGAUUAAUAGAUAAUUUCAUUAGUUUGAUUUUGUUCAAGAACAAAUUUUCAAAGUUUUACAUUUCUAUAAUUAUGCAGUAUUUUCUGGCAUUGUACAACAAUAAAUGCUGUUCUUUUGUAAGUAUAAAGUAAAACAUUUCCCUCCAAGACUUAUAAAAAAAAAUAAAAGAUAUGUUGAUGCUUUUUGUUUCUUGUAUAGGUGCACGACACGUAUGCCCACUGUGCAAGAAAUCUUAUUCAUUAUCAACAAACUUGAAACGACACCUUCGUCUGCAUCAUGACAGGCAAUCCAAGAGUCAGUGUCCACUGUGUGGAAGAUUGUUUUGUCGUUCUGACUACAUCAAAUCCCACCUCCGUACUGUCCAUGGUGUCAAGUAACAGACCUAUUUUAUUUGUCUGCUCUAAGAAUUUGGAUAUUGAAACAGGUCUUUUCUUUUCUACUGAAUGCAUAUCAGAAAACUGUAAUUCAGUGAGUCUUAGUUCAUGAUUGUGGCCGUACAUUGGCAAGAUGAAAAUAACAAUGGAAACCAGUAGAUUACUUGUUAAUGAGUUUUUUGUGGAUAUUUGGUGUGAAGGUUACAUCCACUUGUCCAGUAUGUGGUCAGAAAUUGGCAACUUCAUCGUCUUUGAAUAGGCAUCUUGCAACUCACUACCCCAGCACAAGCAAGUAUGAAUGCAAUCUCUGUGGGAAGCACAUAAAACGAAAGGACCAUUAUAACCUGCAUAUGCGACAAGUUCAUGGUUCACGGGAACAGCUCUACGUGUGUCCUAAGUGUGAUAAGGUGUUUACAACUGGCCACUAUCUGAAUAGACAUCUCUUUUGGGCACAUUCCGAAGAUGAUAGUACAAAGUCUAAUGAGUAAUCAAGAAUUAUACCACUAAUUGCAGUGUUCAAGACUCUGUGUUCUAUUGGUUGGAAAUUAAGAGGUUUAUCAAAGAGAUCAAGUUUCUUAGUAUAUUAUUUUAGAGUACUCAAAAAAUCAUUAAAGUGUACAAACUGUUGUAUUAAAGUAACUUUUUGUUAAUUAUUGAACAUGAAAAAUUCAGUGUUACAUAUUAUGUCAGAGUAUUUUAAAAAGUAAAUUACAAUGUUACUAGAAAAAUAUUUAAGAGUAAACACUGUAUGGUAUUAAUCAGACUCAACAGGAUAGUAUACUAUGUACAUGAUCUCGGAGUAUUUUAAAAAUAAAGGUUAUUGAAGUAAAUAACUGAAUUUAAUCUUUUAGAAUAAAAUUAUAUGACAUUAAUUCAUGCAAAUUGGUUAUAAUAUUACAUUAUUUUUGACAAAUGAACUAGGUAUAAAAAGUUUACUCACAAAAUAAUAAUGAAAUCUUCAGACCUUUUCUUUGUGUAUGAUGUGUGAUUUGUAUAUUUGUUCCUACUGAUGAUCUCACUUGAGCAAAGGAAAUUUUAUUAGUUAUAAAAGUUUAAUCUAUUGGAAACCCAACCAGCUGUGAAACUAAUAACUAGUAUAUUCUUGUAAUAAAAGCAGUGUACAUUGAAAAAU